UGAGGAAUAUUGGUCAAUGGGCGGGAGCCUGAACCAGCCAAGUCGCGUGAGGGAAGACGGUCCUAUGGAUUGUAAACCUCUUUUGUCGGGGAGCAAAGAGGCCACGUGUGGUCAAAAUCGAGAGUACCCGAAGAAAAAGCAUCGGCUAACUCCGUGCC
rnacentral:rRNA from 1 species